CCUACGGGCGGCUGCAGUGGGGAAUAUUGGGCAAUGGGCGCAAGCCUGACCCAGCAACGCCGCGUGAAGGAAGAAGGCUUUCGGGUUGUAAACUUCUUUUCUCAGGGACGAAGGAAGUGACGGUCCCUGAGGAAUAAGCCACGGCUAACUACGCGCCAGCAGCCGCUGUAAUACGUAGGGGGCAAGCGGUAUCCGGAUUUAUUGGGUGUAAAGGGCGCGUAGGCGGGAGCGCAAGUCAGAUGUGAAAACCCAGGGCUCAACCCUGGGCCUGCAUUUGAAACUGUGGGUCUGGAGUGCUGGAGAGGCAAUCGGAAUUCCGGGUGUAGCGGUGAAAUGCGUAGAUAUACGGAGGAACACCAGUGGCAAAGGCGGAUUGCUGGACAGUAACUGACGCUGAGGCGCGAAAGCGUGGGGAGCAAACAGGAUUAGAUACCCUUGUAGUC
rnacentral:rRNA from 1 species